rnacentral:snoRNA from 1 species
AGGGCAUGCCAAAGAGCGCCUGUUAGACUCUUAACCAAGAGCCCUUGACAUUGUGACCAAAGGUUGACGUCAUCCACGGGGUGGCACAGUCAUUCAUAAGUGCUGUUUUCUUGAGGGGACAUAAAA